rnacentral:rRNA from 1 species
UUAUUUGCCAUGGGCGAAGCCUGUGCAGCCUGCCGCGUGUAUGAAGAAGGCCUUCGGGUUGUAAAGUACUUUCAGCGGGGAGGAAGGCGACGGGGCUAAUAACCCUGUCUAUUGACGUUACCCGCAGAACAAGCACCGGCUAACUCCGUGCCAGCAGCCGCGGUAAUA